rnacentral:rRNA from 1 species
AUGGAGGAGGACGCGGAGGGCAUGGACCGCUUCGACAUGGACGGCGACUUCCUGGGCGGCCGCUCCGGCCGCGACGGGGACUUCUUCUACGAGGGCCGCCGCCAGCGCGCGCUCCAGACCCGCGACGAUGCCCUCUACGGCGUCUUCGCCGAGGGGGACUCCGACUACGAUUACGACUCCGAGGAGGACGAGGGGUCGCGACCCCGCAAGCGCAGAAGGGACGAGCUCGAGUCUGACUUCACCAGGCCCGUGCAGUUCGUCUCCAAGGGAAUGCCCGAGGGGGUGGAGCGGGAGGAGCAGAGGCCUGGGCUUGGCCAGGCCGCGUUCUCCUUGCGCACCGCCGCCGCCGCGGAGGAGGACGCGGAGGACAACCAGGACCUGCCCACGGGGUUCGGGCAGCGGAUCGCGGAGGGUGCGCGUGCCAGGCGGGAGGAGAAGGAGCGGCAGCACGAGGCGGCCAAACGCCGCCGCCAGGCGUCGUCGGCGGCCGGGGCGGAUGAUGGAAAACCAGCGCCGGCCCCUGGCAGCGUGGAGUCCAACACGAAGGUGGCUAAGAUGAUGGCUAUGAUGGGGCACAAGAGAGGAAUGGGCCUCGGCAAGAAUGCUCAGGGAAUCACCGCACCGCUGGAGACCAUCCCGCGCUGCAAAAAUGCCGGACUUGGCAGUGUCGAGGAGUUUAAGGAGGCCAAGCCCUUCACUGCCAAGGAGAACCUGCCACCCCCACCUCCUCCGCCGUGUGCCAAGAAGGAAAAGCAACGGUGGUCCAAGAAGGCCAGCUUGAUGAGAGAUCAGGUCCUGACCAAGAAUGAGUUGCUGGCUAUGCACGCCGAGCAGGAACAGGAUGAGCAGCCCACGGUUGUCCAGAAGGUGAUUGACAUGCGAGGGCCUCAGGUUCGUGUGCUGACAGACUUGAAGGGGCUCAGUGAUGAACAGGAGAUGGAGGUGAAUGAUGUGCCAAUGCCAGAGUUGCAGUACAAUGUGCGGGUGCUUGUUGACGAGACUAAGGCUGAUAUCAUCAGGUUGGAUGGGCAGCUGCGACAGGAGCAGGAGAGGGUGGCUAGUUUGGUGGGGGAGAAGGAGAAAGUAGCAAAGCAGGAGGCGUUGCAGAAACACCAGCUGCAGGUUAUGGAGACGAUUGCAGGUGUGCUGGAGCAAGUCUGGGUGGACGAUACAGCUGGUUUGCUCAUGCUGCGAGGGUUGCUCAAGACCUUCCAGGAAUUGAAGCUGCGCCAUGAGGAGGAGUUCAAAAUGUGCAGCGUUGCAUGGAUCGCUUGCCGAUUUGCUCAUCCGUUACUGAUCCAGGUCUUCCAGGGGUGGCAGCCUCUGCAGAAUCCGCUGUUUGGCUUGGAAGUCAUGUCAUCAUUGAAGGAUUUGCUGCAGUGUGACCAGCCAUAUGAUUUCUCAGAUGCUACUGAAUCAAUGGCUCCAUAUGUACAGCUGGUUAGCGAGGUGAUCCUGCCAGCUGUGAGGAUAUCAGGAACUAAUUCAUGGGAGGCUAGGGAUCCAGAACCAAUGCUCUGCUUUCUCGAGUCAUGGGAGCAGUUGCUGCCCCCUAUUGUACUCCAUUCAAUAUUAGAGCAUGUAAUCAUGCCAAAGCUCACAGCCGCUGUUGAAUCCUGGGAUCCACGAAGGGAGAAGGUACCCAUUCAUGCAUGGGUACAUCCAUGGUUGCCGACUCUAGGACGAAGGAUAGAGACCUUGUGUCACUCCAUUCGGUACAAGCUGAGUAGUGUCCUCCAUGUUUGGCAAGCUCACGAUGCAUCAGCUUACGCUUUGCUAUCUCCAUGGAAGGGUGUAUUUGAUCCAGCAAGUUGGGAAGACUUGAUAGUGCGUUAUAUCAUUCCUAAACUUAAAAUGGCACUCCAGGAGUUUCAGAUCAACCCAGCAAACCAGAAGUUCGACCAGUUUAACUCGGUUAUGAUUUGGGCUUCUGCUGUACCGGUAUCCCAUAUGGUCCAUAUGUUGGAAGUUGAUUUCUUUAGCAAGUGGCAGCAGGUUCUGUACCAUUGGUUGUGUUCAGAGAUUCCCGAUUUCAAUGAGAUCACAAACUGGUACAAGAGCUGGAGGGGUCUUUUCCCACCAGAGUUACUCGCCAAUAAACGCAUACGGAUGCUUCUAACGGCUGGUCUUGAGAUGAUGAACCAAGCUGCUGAAGGGGUUGACUUGGUGCAGCCAGGGGCAAGUGAGAAUGUGGGCUACUUGAGAGCAACAGAGAAGUGGCAAUUUGAUGCAGCACAGCAAGCAUCGCAAUACCCAGCUUAUCAUUCAGUGCCAGGUGCAACCAUGGGAGAUAUGAGCUUCAAGGAGUCUAUUCAGGCAUAUGCGGCUGACCAAGGUUUGCUGUUUAUGCCUAGAGUUAAUAAAUCCUAUAAUGGCAAGCCAGUGUAUGAAUUUGGCACCGUGAGUAUCUUCAUAGACUCUGUCAAGCGACUACUCUAUGCGCAACUUCAAGAGGGAACCGAUAGAUGGAGUUCUGUGUCUCUUACACAACUGCUGGAAAUGAACCGGAUGGCAAGAUCACACUAG